ensembl:lncRNA
CGGCAUAUGGAGGUUCCCAGGCUAGGGGUCUAAUCAGAGCUGUAGCCGCUGGUCUACGCCACAGCCACAGCAACGUGGGAUCCGAACCGCGUCUGUGACCCACACCACACCUCACGGCAACGCUGGAUCCUUUACCCACUGAGUGAGGCCAGGGAUCGAACCCGCAACCUCAUGGUUCCUAGUCAGAUUCGUUUCCUCUGUGCCAUGAAGGGAACUCUCUGGAAUAUAUAUAUAUAUUUUUUUUUGGCCACACCCUUGGCACAUGGAAGUUCCCAGCCUGGGCCAGAGGCACCCCUGCUGACCUGGGCUGGUCUCCAGGGUUUGUUCAGUCUUUCUGAUCCCAGGCCCACAGGGCGGAUGCCAUGAGGCGCUGGGGAGCCCGAGGCUCUGCUGCCUCAGCUGUGAGCGAGGCCGAGGCCGAGGGGCCCAGGUUCUACUGGGCUCUGCUUUCUGACUGCUGCAGGGCCCACGGCUCCUGGGGGUUGCUCUGCUUGAUAUCUGGCCUCACCAGGGCCCCAUCCCAGCACCCCUCAAGGGUCUAGAACCUCCCUGGUUAGGAGUGGGGCUGCUGCAGGCUGCUCUCCAGUUGUGCCUCCGGUCCAGUUCUGGUGGCCAGUGACCCCUGGUCCAGAGGUCCAGGCCCAGGCCCAGGUGUCAGUGGAAUCAGUGCAUCCAGCCUGGUCACCCUUCCAGCAGAUGGUUCUGGGCCUUUGGCUAUGACCUUUGGUUCCUUCUGACCCGAGCCUGGCUCAUCAGGUCAGUCCUCAGAGGUCUCCCUUCCUCCCCCAGACCUCUCCUGGGUCUCAGAUUGGAGGGAGUGGGCUGGUGGCCCUGGGCUGAGCCAGACUCAGGGCUCCCGCCCCGUCCCUCAGGUUGGUUUUCUGCCGAACCUGAUUCUGUCCCAGGGGGCAAGGCUUCUGUGGUCCCCACACCCCAUGGUAGCUCCUUGUGGUGGGUGGGGGGGAGGGCAAAUUCAGGAGUCCCUGCCCCCACAUAGCGCUUCUAAUUUAAUGUCAAAGGGGUGUGUCCACACAUCUGCCAGGUCCUGCCAGCAGCCAGGACUGGAAGACGAGGGAGGAGGGGCCGCCACGUGAUGGUUGACCCAGUCAGCCCACGAGAUGGGAGCUGACCAGCUGGGGUGGCCAACGCCCUGCAGAACCCAGCUGAUGGGCGAGUCCCUUGUCCUCCCUCAGUUCCCCACAGGGCCCGGACGUGACCUCCCCUUGAAAGGCAGCCGCUGACAUGGGCAGGAAAGACCCCAGGGGCUCACUGCUGUGCUGGUGCAGGGGCGGACAGGGUGGGCUAUGCCCUGGCCACGCAUCACAGACCCCCACAGGGUCCUAUCCUGUGCCUCUGAGCCCGGUGGGGUGGCAGACCGAGUAGGGGCACCGCUCUGCUGCCACCAUUGCAACAGUGACGCUUCUUGUUGGGAGUGGGGAGCAGGCCAGGACACGCCUGGGGCUUUGGUUAGCAGGCUACGGGAGGCGGGCACUGAGUGCCGGGAAACUAGAGCUGCGGGGAAGGGACCUGGCCCGGCAGCUGCUUGCCUGCCUCGUCAGAGAGGCAGCCCUGCUCUCCACCUUCAGGCUGACCAGGCCCAGGUCCUGGGUCUAAUGUCCUGAUGAGGUCAAGGUCCUGGGUCUAAUGUCCUGACCUGAUGAGGUCAAGGUCCUGGGUCUAAUGUCCUGACCUGAUGAGGUCAAGGUCCUGGGUCUAAUGUCCUGACCUGAUGAGGUCAAGGUCCUGGGUCUAAUGUCCUGACCUGAUGAGGUCAAGGUCCUGGGUCUAAUGUCCUGACCUGAUGAGGUCAAGGUCCUGGGUCUAAUGUCCUGACCAGACCAGGCCCAUGAGUCUAAUGUCCUGACCUGACAAGGUCGAGGUCCUGGGUCUAAUGUCUUGUUGAGGUCAAGGUCCUGGGUCUAAUGUCCUGUCCUAAUAGAAGUUCUAGGUUAUACCUGUGUUGAUGAGGCUGAGCUUCUGUGUUCACUGUCCUGUCUUGGGAGCCCAGGAGGAGGCGGUUCUAGACAAGUCCUUCCUGUUCUGUGGCUCCUCUGCCCAGCUGGGCUCUCCCUGAAGGAGGAAGUAGUGAGGGAUUAAUAAUUAAUUAGUAGCCAAAAGGUGUUUUGAAUUAAAAAGUUUGUUUUUUUUUUUUAAAAAAAAGCAAACACAUUAACCAAAAGAAAAAAAAAAAAAAAAAAAAAA